rnacentral:rRNA from 1 species
CUUUCUUGCUGACGAGUGGCGGACGGGUGAGUAAUGCUUGGGAAUCUGGCUUAUGGAGGGGGAUAACGACGGGAAACUGUCGCUAAUACCGCGUAGAAUCGGAAGAUGAAAGUGCGGGACUGUAAGGCCGCAUGCCAUAGGAUGAGCCCAAGUGGGAUUAGGUAGUUGGUGGGGUAAAGGCCUACCAAGCCUGCGAUCUCUAGCUGGUCUGAGAGGAUGACCAGCCACACUGGAACUGAGACACGGUCCAGACUCCUACGGGAGGCAGCAGUGGGGAAUAUUGCGCAAUGGGGGGAACCCUGACGCAGCCAUGCCGCGUGAAUGAAGAAGGCCUUCGGGUUGUAAAGUUCUUUCGGUAUUGAGGAAGGUUGAUGUGUUAAUAGUACAUCAAAUUGACGUUAAAUACAGAAGAAGCACCGGCUAACUCCGUGCCAGCAGCCGCGGUAAUACGGAGGGUGCGAGCGUUAAUCGGAAUAACUGGGCGUAAAGGGCACGCAGGCGGUUAUUUAAGUGAGGUGUGAAAGCCCCGGGCUUAACCUGGGAAUAGCAUUUCAGACUGGGUAACUAGAGUACUUUAGGGAGGGGCAGAAUUCCACGUGUAGCGGUGAAAUGCGUAGAGAUGUGGAGGAAUACCGAAGGCGAAGGCAGCCCCUUGGGAAUGUACUGACGCUCAUGUGCGAAAGCGUGGGGAGCAAACAGGAUUAGAUANCCUGGUAGUCCACGCUGUAAACGCUGUCGAUUUGGGGGUUGGG